rnacentral:rRNA from 1 species
CCUACGGGAGGCAGCAGUGAGGAAUAUUGGUCAAUGGGCGCGAGCCUGAACCAGCCAAGUCGCGUGAGGGAAGACGGACCUAUGGAUUGUAAACUUCUUUUGUCGGGGAGUAAAAGUCGCCACGUGUGGCGUUUUGCAUGUACCCUAUGAAUAAGCAUCGGCUAACUCCGUGCCAGCAGCCGCGGUAAUACGGAGGAUGCGAGCGUUAUCCGGAUUUAUUGGGUUUAAGGGGUGCGUAGGUGGGCUGUUAAGUCAGCGGUCAAAUGUUGGGGCUCAACCCAAGCCUGCCGGUGAAACUGGCAGACUCGAGUGGGAGAGAGGGAUGCGGAAUGCGGGGUGUAGCGGUGAAAUGCAUAGAUAUCACGAAGAACUCCGAUUGCGAAGGCAGCAUACCGGACCCUAACUGACGCUGAGGCACGAAAGCGUGGGUAUCGAACAGGAUUAGAUACCCUUGUAGUC